CUUUGUGAGAUAAUUCUACCCUGAGGGAUAUGUUUACCUGUCUUCAACAAGUCAGGUGAUUGUUCACACCGAUCAGGAGGCAAGAAAUGGAUUGUGAAGGAGCUGUCCCGCAACUGUACCCUGAAGGCUUUUGACACGAUUAAGUCCUCUGUAGACUUUGUGUUAUACAAUCACUUGGGCAUGACGACCAUGAUGACCAUGAAGACCAAAUCGCUGAAAAUAAAAAUUUAAUAAGUGGAAUAUACAUUGCAGAUUUUGAAAGAAGACUUUAUACUCAGUAAAUGAUGUGGAGAGAAAGAAUCUUGGUUUCAACGAAUAAAUAUUAUUAAAUGACUAUUAUACUGUUGUGCAUUAAACGCACUGAAAAUCUUCUUGUGGUGCAGCU